GAUGAAGAACGCAGCGAAAUGCGAUAAGUAAUGUGAAUUGCAGAAUUCAGUGAAUCAUCGAAUCUUUGAACGCAACUUGCGCUCUCUGGUAUUCCGGGGAGCAUGCCUGUUUGAGUAUCGCAAAGCAACACAAAUCAUAUUCUUGUUUUCAAGAAUGUGGAGUUGAGCCUUUUUUAUUCUUCUCUACUCCAAGAGGGGAUGGCUUGAAAUACAGAAGGACGGGAAAAAGUCUGGGUGUAAAUCUGGGCUUUUUUCUAUCAGGUCAAACAAUUUAUAUACUUGAGCAUAUCAAUAAGCAGAGGA
rnacentral:misc_RNA from 1 species